CUGAGACAACUGUAUCUGUCUGGGAAUAAACUCCAAGAUUCAGAUGUGAAGCUUCUCUCUGAUCUAAAGAAUGAUCGGCAUUAUAAACUGAAGACACUAGAUCACAACUGACUCUCAGUAUUCAGACGUCAGUCCAGUUUCCUCAGGAUCAGCUGAUGGUGAAUAAGGAGCCGCUACAGAGACGUCACAGUCACACAGUCAACAGAGACUGAAGACACAGAGACACACAGAGAUCACACUGUCAUGUGUGUGACUUCACAGCAGUUUCUUGUUUGUAUCUUUUUGUGGGUCUGAUCUUUUGAAUUACAGAUGUCAUCAGAUUUCCACAGUGAUCUAAUAGAGGACUUGAACUCUCUGAUGAAUAAUGUAAAAUUCUUCUAUUUGUGACCCAUGAAAACAAGUGCUGAAAAUUGAUUUGGUAUUGAUUAGAUAUUGUGCUGCUUGAUUACAAUGUUGAUGGUGUAACAUCCAAUAUACACUGAAAGUGUUACACUGUUAUAUAGUGUAAGUAAUUUAUUAUUUAGGAAAAAGUAAGUAUUUUAAAUGUAUCCAGCAAAGAGUGAAAAAGAUGAUUUCAUCAAAAAUAUAUAUAUAUUUGGUAACACUUUAGUAUAGGGAACAUGUAUUCACUAUUAACUACGACUUUUCCCUCAAUAAACUCCUAAUUUACUGCUUA